rnacentral:sRNA from 1 species
AAUUCGCCCGCGUUAGCGAUUGGAACGGCAUCCUUUUUAUUUUUCAUAAAAAGAUAUAGUGGAAAGCGCGACCCUAG